rnacentral:lncRNA from 12 species
AUCAGCUCCAGCAUCUCCUGGAGAACUCAGGUUUCCUAAUUCGAUUUGCUCUCCCCACAGGGGGCAUGGGCUGCUUGGCAUUCCGUGGGGCUGACGGGCAGAGCGAGCUGCUCAGCCGGGAGCAUCCCGCGCUCACGCUCCUCUGGAGCACCAGUGACUUCACUGGGGAGUAAUUACUCCACUUUGCAGGAAUGCUAAUUACUUUGGAGAGGGUUUUUAUCCUGGAAUAAAGACCUGCUGUCGCAGUGUCCUUUGGGAGGCGUGAGGGAAUGGUUUCUCUGCUCCAGAUGUUUUCCUCUUGGAGAGGGGGAGACUGUGGUGGUGCCGAGCCUGGGGAAGGAGACGAGCUCAGGGAUGUUUUACAGCAGGGCUGAUUUAACCUCAGAGCAUGUGGAAGACGACACGGCUCCUCGGUGCUGUUUUUAGCCGAGUUUCCUCCAGAAAUGAGCCUUACAUAAGCAGUGUCUGUACCCAUCGCUUCUGCACCAUUAGCUCACCCCAGCCGUGCUUAGCACAGCACAGGAGGGGUCAGGGCUGGGGGCUGCACGUGUUUGGGUGCUCAGGGAGAGGCUGCAGGGUGUCCUUAUCCUGGGAAAACUUGGAAUUACCUGUGGAAUGGGAUGGCUGAGUGUGCUUCUCCCUGAAAGGAAAGCUCUCACAUGGCAAAGCCCAUCACACCCACCCCCAGGACUGAUUUCUGUGGCCACAGUUUUAUUCUUGGUGGUUCAAAGCUUCAGCAGCCCCACAAACUCCUCUCUCAGACUGAGCUGGAGCAGCUCUGAGGAGGAAGAGUCCUCUCUCCUCUCCCUCUCUCCUCUCCCUAUUUUUCUGUCCCAGCCAGACUCACUGGAACAUUUCCCUCUCACCCUCCCACUUGGGAUUGUUCUCUUGCAGAUCUGCAAAAGGGGAAGAGAACUCUGCAGCAGAUCCCCCCAGACAGAGUCAGAUGGCAGCUCAGGGUGGUUGUGGUGGCUCUGCAAAUGUUUUACUGUGCUGGCAGCCAAAAGCAAUCUGACUUUGCCAGGCACUGGAAUCCAAGCCCUUCCCCUCAGCUCUGCACUGGACGGAAGGUGAGGGACCCU